UACGAAGGGGGCUAGCGUUGCUCGGAAUCACUGGGCGUAAAGGGGGCGUAGGCGGGCCUUUAAGUCAGGGGUGAAAUCCUGGAGCUCAACUCCAGAACUGCCUUUGAUACUGAGGAUCUUGAGUUCGGGAGAGGUGAGUGGAACUGCGAGUGUAGAGGUGAAAUUCGUAGAUAUUCGCAAGAACACCAGUGGCGAAGGCGGCUCACUGGCCCGAUACUGACGCUGAGGCACGAAAGCGUGGGGAGCAAACAGG
rnacentral:rRNA from 1 species